ACGGAAGGCAGCAGUGGGGGAUAUUGCACAAUGGAGGAAACUCUGAUGCAGCAACGCCGCGUGAGGGAAGAAGGUUUUCGGAUUGUAAACCUCUGUUUUUAGUGAAGGAACAAAUGACGGUAGCUAAAGAGGAAGCCACGGCUAACUACGUGCCAGCAGCCGCGGUAAUACGUAGGUGGCAAGCGUUGUCCGGAUUUACUGGGUGUAAAGGGUGCGCAGGCGGGACUGCAAGUUGGAUGUGAAAUACCGAAGCUUAACUUCGGAGCUGCAUCCAAAACUGUGGUUCUUGAGUGGAGUAGAGGUAAGCGGAAUUCCGAGUGUAGCGGUGAAAUGCGUAGAUAUUCGGAGGAACACCAGUGGCGAAGGUGGCUUUCUGGACUGUAACUGACACUGAGGCUCGAAAGCGUGGGGAGCGAACAGGAUUAGAUACCCUGGUA
rnacentral:rRNA from 1 species